rnacentral:rRNA from 1 species
GUAGGGUGCGAGCGUUAAUCGGAAUUACUGGGCGUAAAGCGUGCGCAGGCGGUUUGGUAAGACAGGCGUGAAAUCCCCGGGCUUAACCUGGGAACUGCGUUUGUGACUGCCAAGCUAGAGUACGGCAGAAGGGGGUGGAAUUCCACGUGUAGCAGUGAAAUGCGUAGAGAUGUGGAGGAACACCAAUGGCGAAGGCAGCCCCCUGGGUCGAUACUGACGCUCAUGCACGAAAGCGUGGGUAGCAAACAGGAUUAGAUACCCUGGUAGUCCACGCCCUAAACGAUGUCAACUAGGUGUUGGGAGGGUAAAACCUUUUAGUACCGUAGCUAACGCGAGAAGUUGACCGCCUGGGGAGUACGGCCGCAAGGUUA